GAGAUUUCACCGAAAGCGUUACCGUUUGGAGAAAAGCCGAAAGGGUUACCUGGCGUUUUGUUUACAAUUUUCUCUGGCUUGAAGUCAAGAGUGGUUGUGAAAAAACAGGGGCCGCUGCAACAGUGCUACAUCUAUCCCAUCGUCGUCUGCUGAGUAUGGAGGUUGUGGAUAGCGACGGCGAAGUAUGCUUCGAACACGGGUACGCUGUGAAAGAUGUUGAUGAUUCAAGCUGGAAAUGUUUGUUCGGAAUGCUAUCUACGAUAAGCAAACGGAUUGUGGAGAUGCAAAUCCAGCUGGAUGAAAUCGACCGACGAAUUCAAGAGUGUGAGGAGGAACAAGAACACCGUACAUCUGUUAUCCGCAGCGAAAUGCAACUAUUCAAAUCGAAGGUAGCUGUGAUAAAAAAUAUGCUGGAUACGACCGCCAUUGAAGCUCUAGCGCCACCAAUAACGGCUUUAAUCAAGCCGGCCAAAUGCAAGGAAGAUUUGGAUGAACUUGAAGUCAAAGCUAAGGACAAACACUAUAGCACUUUGAUUACUCAGGCGGUUGGCCGGCAGCUUGGCUUCAAUCGACAAGGAGAAGGAGCUUCCGUGUGCCAUCAAAUAGUUGACUAUUUUUUCGACAGACAGUUUCUGAUUGAAUGUUCCUGGUCCGGAGAAUCCAGACAUCUCGGGAAGCCUUAUCGGGGGAUAAGAAAGAUUGCUCUAUCGUCGUACAAGCAUGUGAUAGAGCUGUUCCACGCUUGCGUCUGCGUUUCCGAUGAUACAUUCACACAAAAUCAGUGUGUUAAAUUUUUACGUCUAUGUCUACAGUAUUCCACGAUCCGUGUGAAGGCGAAGAGAACACGAAAACCAGUAGCACGCCGAAGCAAAGCCAAGAAGAAACCCACGAGCGAAGAUUUAGCACUAAAGGCGCUCGUUGAGAAUCAAUUGCGUAGACUGCAGACGAUUGCGGAAAAUUAGAUGACUUGCGUCCCGAUAGAAUAAAUUGAUAAGACAAUACCAACAUAUUUUAAGAAAAUGCGGAAUAAGGACAGCUUCCAGGGACUAUCGAAGCACGUAAAGAGAAAUUAGAAUUGAGAAACAAGGAGAAAUCAUUCUUUUGAACCGAUAGUCGAUUUUAUUAUUAGUUAUCUUGAAUAAAUUGUAGUUCUUCAACUGCAACUUA